rnacentral:rRNA from 1 species
GACGAACGCUGGCGGCGUGCUUAACACAUGCAAGUCGAACGGAAAGGCCCUGCUUUUGUGGGGUGCUCGAGUGGCGAACGGGUGAGUAACACGUGAGUAACCUGCCCUUUACUUUGGGAUAACUUCAGGAAACUGUGGCUAAUACCGGAUAGGAGCUCCUGCUGCAUGGUGGGGGUUGGAAAGUUUCGGCGGUUGGGGUUGGACUCGCGGCUUAUGAGCUUUUUGGUGGGGUAGUGGCUUACCAAGGCUUUGACGGGUAGCCGGCCUGAGAGGGUGACAGGCCACAGUGGGACUGAGAUACGGCCAAGACUCCUACGGGAGGAAGCAGUGGGGAAUAUUGCACAAUGGGCGGAAGCAUGAUGCAGCAACGCCGCGUGCGGGAUGACGGCCUUCGGGUUGUAAACCGCUUUCGCCUGUGACGAAGAGUGAGUGACGGUAAUGGGUAAAGAAGCACCGGCUAACUACGUG